GCCACUACUUAAAAUAUAGAAACCUAAAUUCUAUAUGGUAUCUAAGUCAUCAAACCUUCAAAGCGUGAUCUACAGGCAUGUCCAAAUUGAAGAAUGUCAGCAUCUCAUAGCAAACAGUCAAUGUGCAAAAACUUAGCACUAAUCAAAGGACUAAGAGGUAUGACAAUCUUGGAACCUUGGUCAAAGUUGGGGCUGGGGGCGAAUACGUAUCAGUUCAGCAGACAUUGUGAACCAUGCAGGUUCCAAUUACUAGGCACCUUCAAACACUAUUAGGUGUCUAAUAGGUGCCUAGCUCUUUCAGAACCUACAAGGGCUGUGAAUGGUGCCUGAAUUAGAGCUCUUAUGGUGUGAACACCGUGAGACCAUGCCAAGGUCAAGUAUGGGACUUGACUUGUUCUUCUGGUGCAAGUAUUCCAGUAUUCAGAUAUUAUGUUAAGAUAUUCCCAAUUUAUCUCUUUGAAUACUUUGAAAUGAGAGUACUUGUAUCAAGUACUGUUGCUGUAUGUCUUUGUUAUGACACUGUGCAACAGUCUAAAACUCCUGAUUUUGGUAGUAUCUACAUAAUUGUUUUCAUCAGCAGUAAAUCUUCUUUCCAUUGAGCACGUAGUGCACUGUUGUGUUUUUUGCUUUGUUAUCUCAACAAAUGUAGCAGUGAUGAUUAACGGUACGGUCACCGCCAUAACAGAUGUGACUCAUCCUCCUCUGAGGACUCAUGGGAAAGCCUAUGAUUUUAUUGAAUACAGCCAAACAGUGAAAGUUGAGUUAUGACCAAUGUGCCAGGGGUUGUAUGAAUUCUGGUUAAGCUAUGUGCCUCUAUGGGUUUGGAAAGUUAGUGCUCUUUGUAACUUAGCAUACUGUAUGUGCAGAAGGUUUGGGUUUACAAACACCAGAGAGAGUGUGUGAAUAUUCGUGGUCUGACAAUUUGUUCCCGUUUCCCAGUCAUUUACUAUGCAAUAACUGGUUUAGGACGUUGCUAAUGCACUGUUGUUUACUUUCAGCAAUCUCACCUUCUAAAACAAGGGAAAUCCAAGUGGGCUUCAGAUGAUGAUCCAGAGUUUGCUUCUUGGUUGCCGCCUACUGAUCAAACUGGAGAUGGCAAAACGUCAUUAAAUGACAAACUUGGAUACUAAGUGCACAAAGAGUGUGUAUUAGGCUGUGGCUAGGUCAGUUUGUGACAUAGGAACUGUUUGAAGUACAAUCAGACCUCAGAAUUUCGACCAUGUUUGUUGCACAGGUUUUUGGCAGACUAACAUUACAGUCAGAUUAUUGUACACAGUAACAAUGUAAAUUGAUUUCACGCGUACAUUAUCAGAAAGUGAGGUUGGAUUAUAGGGUGUCAGAAUAAUAAUGUUUGACUGUAUUGUAGAA